AUCAUAUUUACUUUUUCAUCUAAAUAGAUGGAAAAUAUUAGGAAAUCAGUGUUGUGUUUCCGUCUUUAAUAACUAACGUAAGGAGCUCUACAUAAAUGUAUAAACAGAUAGGACGUCAAUUAUAACUAUUAUUGUAAACAGCUGAAGCUGUUGCGUGAUGCGUUGUCAUGAAUGUAAUCUUGUCGGUUUCUGUGCCCUAUCUGGGUUUGUUCCAG